rnacentral:misc_RNA from 1 species
GUAUUUUGAAUUGUUUAUUCAUAAUAUUUUUCAGACAAAGAGUUAAAAAAUAAAGGUUGAUGUUUGGUCGAUCUCCAUGAAGAAGAUCGACUGACAUUGCACACAAGGUGGAUAUGGAUUUUUAAAGAGUGCCAUAAAACACUCAUUGUGAAUGAUCCUUCCGCAGGUUCACCUACGGAAA